UCUCGCCUCUUUUCUCUUAACAUUACUGUCUUUUCCCAUUCCUUUAACCAACAAGAAAUUCAUUUGUUUUAAUAUACCUAUAAAUAUAAAUUAUGGUUGAGAUUUUUUUAUUCUUUUUUAUUAUUUUCUUUUAUGGAUUUUCUGGUGUGUGUGAUCGGAACAAUAACAGGAAUAGGAAAAGGGGCGGCGCAGCACUACCUUCACCGGUCGGAAGCGUGGGAAAAGAGAGAGGGGUAAAUGGCGACAGAUCUAUUUGGAGACAAGAUGAUUCGCCAGAUUUGGGGGAAUCGGAUCUGGUUUCGGGUGGUGAUUCUGGCUACGGGGAGGGGAGAAGAGAUGGCAGGGAUGUUCACAGGCGGUAGGUCACCGGUUUUAAUGGAUUUUUCGGCGAUGUAUCAUAUGCCGAUUUAAAUGGGUUUUCAUCGAAAAACAUGAUUCUUCUCCGAUUCAAAUUUUUGUUAUUAUUUACUAAAUUAAACACCAAAUUUUACUGACUUUUUUUUUUACUGUUUUCAGCAAUUUCUUGGUACAUCCGU
rnacentral:lncRNA from 1 species